UACAGAGGGUGCAAACGUUGUUCGGAAUUACUGGGCGUAAAGCGUGUGUAGGCGGCUAUGUAAGUCGGAUGUGAAAGCCCCGGGCUCAACUCGGGAAGUGCACUCGAUACUGCGUAGCUAGAGUACCGGAGAGGUUGGUGGAAUUCUCGGUGUAGAGGUGAAAUUCGUAGAUAUCGAGAGGAACACCGGUGGCGAAGGCGGCAAACUGGACGAGUACUGACGCUGAGACACGAAAGCGUGGGGAGCAAACAGG
rnacentral:rRNA from 1 species